UGCCCAACCCGCCCAGGCUCCGGGCGCUGUGACUUCGCGCCGCUGUGUGCGCCUCCCCGAGCGCCGGCUGCGCCCCCCAGCCCGGCCCGGGGCCUACCGCCUGCCCGGCCCCCUGCCACUGCCAGGAGGACGGCAUCAUGCUGUCUGCCGACUGCUCUUGAGCUUGGGCUGUCCGCCAUACCGGGGGACCUGGAUCCCCUGACGGCUUACCUAGCAGUGCCCAGGAUGGUGGCUGAGGGUAAAGCUGACAGAACUGGAGGUGGAGGUGAGGGGAGCGUGCCCCAGUGGGGUGGAAAUAAUGUCUGUUCUUCUGCCAUGGCUGCUCAGGACCGAGGCUGAGACGGGCGACCAGGACGGGAUUGUAUGGCUGCAGGAGGCUACACAGUCCCAGGAGGCUGCUUCUAAGAGGCCCACGUGGCCUGCAUGGGGAUGCGCCUGGCUGUCCAGCAUGUGGUCAUUUGAAUUGUACAUGUUUCACUGGGAUGCCUACAGAAAAGUAGACAGAAGAUGUGGAAAAAGUUUUUGAAAUGUUGCAAACUUAGCUACUUUUAAAAUAAAAAAAAUAGCUUUAUAAUUAUAAAAGCAAUAUGUAAAUCUUAAAAUAAUUUGCUACAUUCUAGUAAGCAUCUUAUGAUCUCUAUGUGCCCUAUAACAUUAUGUUGUAUAGUUUAAAUAUAUACAAUAAAAUCUAUUUUAAAAAAUA
rnacentral:lncRNA from 1 species